AACGAACGCUGGCGGCAUGCCUAACACAUGCAAGUCGAACGAGACCUUCGGGUCUAGUGGCGCACGGGUGCGUAACGCGUGGGAACCUGCCCUUAGGUUCGGAAUAACUCCCCGAAAGGGGUGCUAAUACCGGAUAAUGUCUUCGGACCAAAGAUUUAUCGCCUUUGGAUGGGCCCGCGUUGGAUUAGCUAGUUGGUAGGGUAAAAGCCUACCAAGGCGACGAUCCAUAGCUGGUCUGAGAGGAUGAUCAGCCACACUGGGACUGUGACACGGCCCAGACUCCUACGGGAGGCAGCAGUGGGGAAUAUUGGACAAUGGGCGAAAGCCUGAUCCAGCAAUGCCGCGUGAGUGAUGAAGGCCUUAGGGUUGUAAAGCUCUUUUACCCGGGAUGAUAAUGACAGUACCGGGAGAAUAAGCUCCGGCUAACUCCGUG
rnacentral:rRNA from 1 species